rnacentral:rRNA from 1 species
GACGAACGCUGGCGGCGUGCUUAACACAUGCAAGUCGAACGGAAAGGCCCUGCUUUUGUGGGGUGCUCGAGUGGCGAACGGGUGAGUAACACGUGAGUAACCUGCCCUUGACUUUGGGAUAACUUCAGGAAACUGGGGCUAAUACCGGAUAGGAGCUCCUGCUGCAUGGUGGGGGUUGGAAAGUUUCGGCGGUUGGGGAUGGACUCGCGGCUUAUCAGCUUGUUGGUGGGGUAGUGGCUUACCAAGGCUUUGACGGGUAGCCGGCCUGAGAGGGUGACCGGCCGCAUUGGGACUGAGAUACGGCCCAGACUCCUACGGGAGGCAGCAGUGGGGAAUAUUGCACAAUGGGCGGAAGCCUGAUGCAGCAACGCCGCGUGCGGGAUGACGGCCUUCGGGUUGUAAACCGCUUUCGCCUGUGACGAAGCGUGAGUGACGGUAAUGGGUAAAGAAGUACCGGCUAACUACGUG